GAGAUUCCAGAGUCCAGGGAAUGGCGGAAAUGAAUGUUAGAGAGUACUUUGACUGAAGGACAUUCCCCUGGCCAUCUCAUUCUCAAAUUCACACACUCUCCACACACACCCCAGUACUUGCAAACCUGCAGUUGUGUAACUCUGCACACCAAUCCUGCCCCAGAAAUCAUGCUAUACCACUUUUACCCAGCAGAGGGAAGUGGAACACCAAAAUGACUGCAGAAAUAAUCCAGGACACAAAGACAGCCAUUUGGUAUUUGUCCUGUGAAUUCAGGUAGUGAAGAGUAAGAACAUCAUAGGAUUGAAAACAAAUUCUGGGUGAUGCCAGUUCUGGGAAAAAUAUAUGAAGAGGUGACUGCUCUUAUUUUAGGUGACUAAUCAUGGCCUGUCCCAUCAGGACAUCUCCCAUCAGGAUUCCCUAGGAGGCACCUUAUGGAAUGAGGCUCUCUUUUAGGCUUGGCUGCUGGUAGCCUGACCUUUCAAUUUUUUCCCAUUCUUCAUGCUUUGAAACACCUGUUAAAAUCAUGCAAUGUCUCUGUAUUCUUCUGAGUCCAGGCUUUAUGCAAUGACCUUCCAAACCAUGGCACUUUUUACUUUAGCUGCCAGGGGUGGUUCUUAAUGCUUUCUUCAAUUCCACAAAGUAGGAAAUGUGGGUACAGGCUGAAGUGCAAUGUGUGCUCAGUGGUCAUGUUUGGGAGAAAUGAGAUACAUUUUUAUUUUUAUUUUUAGGUAAAUUACUUUUAGGGAAUUGAACCCAGGGCUUUGAAUAUGCUUCCACUGAGCUAUAUUUACCCAGCCCUAUUUUACCAAAAAUAAAUAAAUAAAUAAAAAGUUA
rnacentral:lncRNA from 1 species